GACGAACGCUGGCGGCGUGCUUAACACAUGCAAGUGGAGCGACGAACCAGGGCUUGCCCUGGGGCAGAGCCGCGAACGGGUGAGUAACACGUGGGUAACCUACCUCGAUGACCGGGACAA
rnacentral:rRNA from 1 species